AACUUUUAAACCUAAAUUGAAUAGCUUAAUGUAACAUCUGAGUAUUCUAAAUGUUUUAUUCAUGUUUUAACCGUGUUAUAUAAUCUGUUAUUAUUAGUAUUGUGAUAUCUAAAAAUACGGGAAAAUAUGACGUCAUUCAGAGACUUGAAGACGCCGUUAAACUAUUAUGACGUCAUAACAAACGUUACCAUGUUAGUAUUGUAAAACAUCUGAAGAAAAUGAAAGCGCUUAUGUUUU
rnacentral:sRNA from 1 species